GACGAACGCUGGCGGCAGGCCUAACACAUGCAAGUCGAGCGGAGCGGCGGACGGGUGAGUAAUGCCUAGGAAUCUGCCUGGUAGUGGGGGAUAACGUCCGGAAACGGGCGCUAAUACCGCAUACUAUCAGAUGAGUCUAUGUCGGCUUAGCUAGUUGGGGGGGUAAAGGCCUACCAAGGCGACGAUCCGUAACUGGUCUGCGAGGAUGAUCAGUCACACUGGAAUGUAGACACGGUCCAGACUCCUACGGGAGGCAGCAGGGGGGAAUAUUUGACAAUGGGCGAAAGCCUGAUCCAGCAAUGCCGCGUGUGUGAAGAAGGUCUUCGGAUUGUAAAGCACUUUAAGUUGGGAGGCGUUACCUACAGAAUAAGCCCCGGCUAACUUCGUGCCAGCAGCCGCGGUAAUAC
rnacentral:rRNA from 1 species